GAUGAACGCUGGCGGCGUGCUUAACACAUGCAAGUCGAACGAGCAAUGUAGACGGAAACCUUCGGGCGGAAGCCUUCAUUUCGAGUGGCGGACGGGUGAGUAACGCGUGGGUAACCUGCCUCAUCCAGGGGGAUAACAGUUGGAAACGACUGUUAAUACCGCAUCAGACCACAGCAUCGCAUGAUGCGGGGGUAAAAACUCCGGUGGUAUGAGAUGGACCCGCGUUCGAUUAGCCAGUUGGCGGGGUAACGGCCCACCAAAGCGACGAUCGAUAGCCGAUCUGAGAGGAUGACCGGCCACAUUGGGACUGAGACACGGCCCAAACUCCUACGGGAGGCAGCAGUGGGGAAUAUUGCACAAUGGGGGAAACCCUGAUGCAGCGACGCCGCGUGAGUGAAGAAGUACUUCGGUAUGUAAAGCUCUAUCAGCAGGGAAGAAAAUGACGGUACCUGAGUAAGAAGCCCCGGCUAACUACGUG
rnacentral:rRNA from 1 species